AUUGAACGCUGGCGGCAGGCCUAACACAUGCAAGUCGAACGAGUGGCGGACGGGUGAGUAAUGUGUGGGAAACUGCCUGAUGGAGGGGGAUCACUACUGGAAACGGUAGAUAAUACCGCAUACCAUCAGAGGUGCCCAGAUGGGAUUAGCUAGUAGGGGGGGUAAUGGCUCACCUAGGCGACGAUCCCUAGCUGGUCUGAGAGGCAGAACAGCCAUACUGGAACUGGGACACUGUCCAGACUUCUACGGUAGGCCGCAGUGGGGAAUAUUGCACAAUGGGCGCAAGCCUGAUGCAGCCAUGCCGCGUGUGUGAAGAAGGCCUUCGGGUUGUAAAGCACUUUCAGCGGGGAGGCGUUACCCGCAUAAGAAGCACCGGCUAACUCCGUGCCAGCCGCCGCGGUAAUAC
rnacentral:rRNA from 1 species